rnacentral:rRNA from 1 species
UACAGAGGUCUCAAGCGUUGUUCGGAUUCAUUGGGCGUAAAGGGUGCGUAGGCGGCACUGUUAAGUCAGGCGUGAAAGUCCUGGGCUCAACCUGGGAACUGCGCUUGAUACGGCAGAGCUAGAGGAUGGAAGAGGCUCGCGGAAUUCCCAGUGUAGAGGUGAAAUUCGUAGAUAUUGGGAAGAACACCGGUGGCGAAGGCGGCGAGCUGGUCCAUUACUGACGCUGAGGUGCGAAAGCGUGGGGAGCAAACAGG